CUCUAGACCCAGGCGGGUGAGCACAGUGGGCUUGGCCCAGAGCUGGAGAGGAAAGGCAGGUACAGCCCACCUAGCUCCGUCCUCCACAGCUGCACAGGAGGGCCUGAGAUAGGCAAGGGGAGAGGAUGGCUGGCCACAGUGGUGGAGCAGCAGGACUCCAGAGGGGACAGCAGUAAAGUGGGAGGGACUGAACCCCUUCAGCUCCUGCCCUACGCCCCUGCCAUGCGAGCCUCAGAGGCCCACCCGACCCAGUCAAGACUGCACCUCCCCUCCCAUGCUGCCACAUCACCACUAAGCACACAAUUUCCAUGGUGACCCCUGCCCCCUGGCUGCUGGUGAGGUCGGUGGGUGCCCCUCAUGGUCUGGCUCACUUGCUGUCUCUCCCUCUUUCUCUCCAUCCCUCUUUAUCCCUCCCCUUCUCCCUCCCUCUCUCUAUCUCUCUCAGUCCAAUCUCUGCCCUGCUGCCCUCCAUCUGUCUAUUUCUCUCCUAGACUUCGGCUUCAGACAGAUGUGGUUUCAAAGCUGCAGUCCCGGCCUUCCUGAGCUGUGUGACCUUGGUUACGUCCACGUGCCCAUUGCCUCGCCUGGGCCUCACUUUUCUCAUCUGUAUCAUGGAGUUGGCACCACCGGCUCUGCCCUCAAGGUUUGCCGCGCCUGCAGAGGCCCCUGAGCAUUCAGCAGGUGCUCACUCAGCAGGAGCUGCCAGACGUUGAAUGUGUGAUGGGAAUCAUUGGAUGCUGCCGCCUCUCCGCCCACCCGCCACCUGACACUGCCUCCUGGCUCUCCAUCACUGCCCAGGAGUCGGGCAGCCUCCCCGCUCCCUGCUAUUUCUUCUCUGCACCUGACGCCGCCUCCUGGCUCUCCAUCAUUGCCCAGGAGUCGGGCAGCCUCCCCACUCCCUGCUAUUUCUUCUCUGGAGCUUCCCAGGAGGUUAAUAGCAGCUUCUCACCAGGAUAUUUGGCUUUUUAAGGAAUCUCCUUGCCUCUUUCUUCUCUGUGAGGAUAUUCUCAGGAUGGUUGCGGUGGAGAAGGGAAGGAAGGAGACUCUCGAGGCAUUUGCCAACUAAGGGGGGCACUUAGGGGUAGGUGGGGGGGGCCAGUUCCGGGCAGAACUUGGGGCAGACAGUGCCCUGUUUCCAGAACAGCUCCCAGUGCCGGGCUGGGCUGGGCUUAAAUGCAGUGGGAGAAGCUCAAGGGUGGGGUGGGGUCACAGGCUCCACUUGGAAUGGGCCAGGUCAUUUGACUAUGGGGGCAUUUCUGAGCCUGGUGGGGCCUCAGUCUCCCCUCCUGGAAGGUGGGCCUGAUGAUCCAUGCCAGCCUGUAAAGGAAGGGAAAGAGUUUUGCUGAGCUGCAGAAGGAGGUGCAGACAAGGCGAGGGGCUGGGUGUUGGGGGAGGCCAGCUGAGCGCCCAGGACCCCUCUGGCCCCACCCCAGGUCCUUGGGCUCCAACUGCUCUCAGCCCUGCCCUGAGCUCAGGAAUGGGCCCAGGCCUGAGAAGGAGGUCAAAACUCUGCAGCCCUUCCACUACUACUUCGGGGGGCUCAGCACAGCUCCUCUGGGCUCAGGUCCCCAGGCCUUUCCCUGAUGUAACCCCCCAGUCAGGCCCGCACAGUAGGGGAGGUCCACCUCUUAUGUGUGUGUUUUAAAUUGCGGUAAAAUGUACGUAACAUGAAAUUUACCAUUUUAGCUCUGUAAGCAUACAGGUCCGUGGCAUUCGGUACAUUCACAUUCCUGUGUGGCCAUGACCACCAUCCAUUUCCGGGGCUUCUGCAUGAUCCCGAACAGAAGCUUGCACGCCCUGCGCCACGCCCCCUCCCAUGUCAACCCCCGUAACCGCUGGUCUUCGUCUCUAUGAAUUAAACUAUUCCAGGCACAGCGUCAGUCUCUGGAGCCACGGCUGCAGCUGUGAGGAAGACAGAUGUGCCCGCCCUCCUGGAGUUCCUGAGCUGGGGGUCCUAUGGCAAAAUCCAGCAUGAACGAAAUAAUCAGAUGAUGCCUAAGCACAGGCAGUACCCAGGGCUUUGGGGAAGCCAGGGCCUUGUGAGGGACUGGGGAGCAAGCUGGAUUAAGACUGGGAGUCACGGAGGGCGCCGCUAAGAGGCUGCAGAGCAGAGGGAUAGAUGGAGCCGGCCAGGCAAAGGGCUUCAGGAAGAUCAGCCAGGCAGGGGGAACAGCACGCAACAUGGCCCGGAGGCGCCAAAGAACUCGGUGAGGCUGAGGAACCUGGAGGUCAGGCAGUGUCGGCCAUCGUCAGUGAAGAACAGCCGGGGCAGUGGGGCCAGGACCUGCGCAGGGGCCACCCACUCAGGACUCGGGGCCAAGCCAGGAAAUGAAAAUCGUCAGAGUGGAACUGGGGGACUUACCGUAGGGGAUUGGAAGCAUUAGAAGGGGACAACGAAGGCCGGGCGCGGUGGCUCACGCCUGUAAUCCCAGCACUUUGGGAAAUCCCAGCAAAGAGAUGGUAAAACCCCAUCUCUACUAAAAAUACAAAAAUUAGCUGGGCGUGG
rnacentral:lncRNA from 1 species